UACAGAGGUCUCAAGCGUUGUUCGGAAUCAUUGGGCGUAAAGGGUGCGUAGGUGGCGCCAUAAGUCGGGUGUGAAAUCUCGGGGCUUAACUCCGAAACUGCAUUCGAUACUGUGGUGCUUGAGGACUGGAGAGGAGACUGGAAUUCAUGGUGUAGCAGUGAAAUGCGUAGAGAUCAUGAGGAAGACCAGUGGCGAAGGCGGGUCUCUGGACAGUUCCUGACACUGAGGCACGAAGGCCAGGGGAGCAAACGGG
rnacentral:rRNA from 1 species